AGAACGAACGCUGGCGGCAUGCCUAACACAUGCAAGUCGAACGAACUCUUCGGAGUUAGUGGCGCACGGGUGCGUAACGCGUGGGAAUCUGCCCCUUGGUUCGGAAUAACAGUUAGAAAUGACUGCUAAUACCGGAUGAUGUCUUCGGACCAAAGAUUUAUCGCCAAGGGAUGAGCCCGCGUAGGAUUAGGUAGUUGGUGGGGUAAAGGCCUACCAAGCCGACGAUCCUUAGCUGGUCUGAGAGGAUGAUCAGCCACACUGGGACUGAGACACGGCCCAGACUCCUACGGGAGGCAGCAGUGGGGAAUAGUUGGACAAGUGGGGGAAACCCUGAUCCAGCAAUGCCGCGUGAGUGAGUGAAGGCCUUAGGGUCGUAAAGCUCUUUUACCGAGGAUGAUAAUGAACACGUACCGUGGAAGAAUAGCUCCGGCUAACCGUCCGUGCCCAGCCAGG
rnacentral:rRNA from 1 species